GCCGGAGUGGCGGAAUUGGCAGACGCGCACGACUCAAAAUCGUGUGGGAUUUUCCCGUGGGAGUUCGAGUCUCCCCUCCGGCACCA
rnacentral:tRNA from 1 species